UACGAAGGGGGCUAGCGUUGCUCGGAAUCACUGGGCGUAAAGGGUGCGUAGGCGGGUCUUUAAGUCAGGGGUGAAAUCCUGGAGCUCAACUCCAGAACUGCCUUUGAUACUGAGGAUCUUGAGUACGGGAGAGGUGAGUGGAACUGCGAGUGUAGAGGUGAAAUUCGUAGAUAUUCGCAAGAACACCAGUGGCGAAGGCGGCUCACUGGCCCGUAACUGACGCUGAGGCACGAAAGCGUGGGUAGCGAACAGG
rnacentral:rRNA from 1 species